UAUGGUGAAAUGUAUGAACUGUCUGCCCAGGGAAACCCUCAAAGGGGCUACAUAAAAGUGUUCAACUUCAGAAUCUUCCAAAGUUAAGGGCAACACAACUGGGCUUACGGCUGUUGUCCUGGGAAAUGAAGAGAGCCAUCUUGGACUGGAUGUACUUAAGGAAGUUGACAGCUGACCACUGGGGAAGUGACACACCUGGCAACAUGGAAGAGAUAGUUACAUAGAGGCAAGUCCUAAGUGUGUGGGCCUCACUGGUGGCCUGUGGCUGGAGUCAGUGGGAGAUGAGCCAGUUCUCACUGGCACCUAAGGAAGGACAACCACCAGAUGAUAACACAUCCUCAGAGGAGCCAGACUUGCUCACAGGCCCUGCUGUUGCUCUAGACAACGAGGUCAGUCACACACUGAGGAAUGGCUUCAAUGAAUGAAUGGCAAAGGGAGGAGUUUCCCAGGGAAGCAAAGUUGAGAGACAUCAGAAGGACAUCAAAAGGACCUGUAACCCAUGAAAGUCUCGUUUUUACCUGAACAAUGGAAACAGAAAAAACAACAGCCUUUUACAUUUGGCUUCCUGACAAGUGCAGGUCUUACACUCUUUCUGUCCCCACUUCCACUGUUUUCCGAACCUGGGAGUGGUUGAGAUAGAUGUCGCAUUUAGGACUGAGCACUCCACAGACACUUGUCCUCAGUGCUCAGCCAGCUGUGAGUCUCUGCACUGACUGCUGCCCGCUGCAGAAAGGAGCUUCUCUGGCCACAGCUGAGAGCAGCGCUGACCUAUCUGCUGCUCCUCCUAGGACUCUGGUUUCCUGAGGAGGAAGGAAGGAUGAAAAGAUCAGUGACCAUCAGAGCGUCAGAGGCUCUCUCUCCCUCCCCCUCUCCUCCCUCUCUCCUUCCACCUCUC